rnacentral:rRNA from 1 species
CAUAGGUUUGGUCCCAGCCUUCCUGUUAACUCUUAAUAAACUUACACAUGCAAGCAUCUACACCCCAGUGAGAAUGCCCUCUAGGUUAUUAAAACUAAGAGGAGCUGGCAUCAAGCACACACCCUGUAGCUCACGACGCCUUGCUUAACCACACCCCCACGGGAAACAGCAGUGACAAAAAUUAAGCCAUAAACGAAAGUUUGACUAAGUUAUAUUAAUUAGGGUUGGUAAAUCUCGUGCCAGCCACCGCGGUCAUACGAUUAACCCAAGCUAAC